ACAAUUUAAUUAAUAAAUAAUAAUACAGUAAUAAUACUAAUAGAUCGAAUGAAGUUGUAGAAAAAUAGAUCCAAAAAAAAGAGACUAAAUUGGGUUUGAUCUGGGGUGAAUGAACACAUAUGAAUUUGGGUAUUGUAAAUUGACUAAAUGGGGUAAUAUUAAUUUGUUUUCUUGAUUGGUUAUGGAAACCCUAAUUGGUAAAAAUUGAAUCUGGUACAAAUCUUAAAGGUUGUUUAGGGGUGAUUUAGUUAGGUAAUUAGUUGUUAGUUGUAUUAUUUAUUUAUUUAUUGUGUACUGAGUGUAGUUUUGUCACAUUGAUUGGAUUUGUUUUUUAUGCAUUACUUACUGUAUAUUUUACUGUGGAAAUAUGGACUGUUUAUGUGUUAUUGGAGCUAUUUUUGAUGAGUUUGUACUGGUAGAUUAAUAGAGGUGAAAGAUUUGAGAAUAGGGUUUGUUAUAUAUAUAUAUAUUAUCUGUUAAGCCAUAGAUCUCUUCGAAUGCUAUGAAAGAAUGUUAAUUUACAGAUUUUUUAUUUAUUUGGAUAUAGACCAUCUACUGAUUGAAACAAUCACACGUGUAAUAUAGGCAUGAAUCUUGAAAAAAAUUGCUGCUUUAUUUGGAAUUUGUGCAAUCUAAUUAAUCUUGUUGCCCAUUUUCCUAUCCAUUUGGCGCUUUAGUUGCUUUUCGUUGUAUUUGGUUGUUGAGGCUCAUGUGUAAUUGCUAGCAUGGUGUUGCAUAGGAAGGGGUAUGGUCUGCGUACACACUACCCUCCCCAGACCCCACUUGUGGGAUUACACCGUGUUAUUGUUGUGGUUGCAUAGGAGUUGAACUUGCACAUAUUUUUAGGGUUUGAACUUGUUAGUGAAUUUUCAGUCUCUUUUGCUUUUUCUUAAUUGUUUGAUUUGAUUAUGACACAGUUAAUCUUUGUGAUACUGUAACAGCCGUUAAGAUUUAAGAAUUUAACUCCCCAACCUUAGCUUAUGUCUGUUCUUUUUCUUUUGGUUUUGCUAUUUUCUGCUGAAAGAGGAAUUGCUGAUUAAGAUAUUAAUUUGAUCAUGCAGGCUGUAACUAUACGUUCCUGUUUUAAGAAAUUGCAGCUGUAGCUGUGAGUGCUGACUGCUACUAAAGCAAUUCACUUGUUUUUAGUAUUCCAAAUAGAUGAGGAUGAUGUAAAUUUUAUGUUGUAGAGUGGAAUACGAACCUUUGUUUUUGAUGCUCUGACUUUUGUCCUUUAAUCAAGUUUGUUGCUUCCCCCCAAUUGCAGUCUUUCAUGCUUUUAAUGCUCUUUGGGCAAUAAAGAGGUUAAAAUAUUUGUCAAUAGCUGUGCGAGAGUCAAAUAUUAGUGAAAGGUGGUGGUAUAAGGUCCUUUUUAUUCAGCGUAUAUGCAAUUAUAUUUGAGAUGGGUUCUAAAGGAAGGUUGUUGUUUGAUCUUAAUGAACCCCCUACUGAGGAUGACCAGGAUAACAAUGGUGUCCUCUGUUUCCAGCCUAAGCGAGCAGUUCCCUCUUCUAUUACCAACACUUCUGAGCUUUUGGCCUCCUCUGUUGAUCCGCCCGGGAUAGUAAACAAUCAUGCAUUUUCCCAUGCCUCUUCCGUUUCAGGUUUUCAGCCCUUUGUUCGGUCAAAAGGUGCAGAGGCAUCUAGAGCUCCUGAGGAACAGAAGAGUGCUGGGCCCUCAACUUCGGGUGGUGCUUUAUUAUCUAAGUCAAGUCAGGAACAUACAAUGAAGGCUUUGCUCCAGCCAGAUCUAAACUCUCUUGAUAUGCAAGUGGCUGAAAAGGAAGAAGGUGAAUGGUCUGAUGCAGAGGGUUCAACAGAUGUAUAUAAAAAUAUUGGCUUCAAUGAUAAGUCGAAUACUGAUUUUGAUAAAGCUCCGGAGGAGAAAUCAGCAGUUGAGCCGGUGAACAGUAGUGAUAAAGUUGGCUCUGUUGAUAAUGCUUCUCAGGAUAAUGAGAAGCGGAAUGGUGAAAAUUACAAUAUUUCCUCUUUAGAAUUAGAUCGAGAUACAAAUGACAGGAAAAGUAAUAGUGGCAGAAUUUCUGAAACCAGUAGUAAAGCUGAUAUCACCAUGGAUAGUCAGGAGGAUUCUGGGCAGGUGCCAAAGCAUAGAGAGAUUAGAGGUGCUGAGGCGAGCCAUGCAUUAAAGUGCGCUAACAAUUUUGGUAAGCGCCCUAAGAUUGACCAUCAGAAGGAAGCAAUGCUGGGAAAGAAGCGCAGUAGGCAGACCAUGUUUCUUGAUUUGGAAGACGUUAAGCAGGUAGGUUCCCAAAAGAGUACUACUAGGCGGCAAAAUUUUCCACCACCUGUUACAACUCGUAUUGUGAAAGAGCCUCGUAACGUUCCUCCACCUGAAAAGAAUGGGGAAAAGCAGAGUCUGCAACUUGUCAAAGAUAUUAGACAAAUUGAUUCAACUAAUGAAGGAAACUUGCCAAUGGAAUCUAAUGAUUCUAAAUCUGAAUCCAGUGCUGAUGUGAACCUAGCACCUCUAGGUCGGCCAAGACGGAUGAGUAGUUCUACUGACCUCACGUCUGAGGCUCAAGCACCACUUAUGCCUAGACAGAGUUCUUGGAAACAUCCCACAGAUCAGAGACAAAGCAGAAAUUCACAGUUUCCUGGUAGGAAGCCUGCUCCGACCGGUCAAAAUUCCAUGGAUCCAAAAUUGGGUGCCAAAAAACCUCCAUCCAAGAAGCAACCUAUAGUAAGUAGCCUGUGUCAAGAUACAUCUGUAGAACGCCUUAUUCGUGAGGUGACAAACGAGAAGUUUUGGCAACAUCCAGAUGAAGCAGAGCUUCAGUGUGUACCUGGUCAGUUUGAAUCUGCGGAAGAGUAUGUUAAGGUGUUUGAACCCUUGCUCUUUGAGGAAUGCCGGGCACAGUUGUACAGUUCUUGGGAGGAGAUGGCUGACACAGGAACCCAUGUGAAGGUCCAUAUUAAAAACAUUGAACGGCGAGAAAGAGGAUGGUAUGAUGUAAUCCUCAUUCCAGAUUGUGAUUGGAAGUGGUUAUUCAAAGAGGGAGAUGUAGCAGUUCUAUCCACUCCACGUCCUGGAUCAGCAGUCCGAUCACGGAGAAGUGGCACCUCAACACUCGGGGAUGAUGAUGAGCCCGAAAUCAGUGGUCGUGUGGCUGGUACUGUGAGGCGACACAUACCUAUUGAUACUCGAGAUCCUACCGGCGCCAUCCUGCACUUCUAUGUUGGAGAUUCGUAUGACGCCAACAGCAAUAAUGUUAGUGAUCACAUAUUGUGGAAACUACAACCAAGAGGCAUCUGGUUUCUGACUGUUCUGGGUUCUCUAGCAACGACCCAACGAGAAUAUGUUGCUUUACAUGCAUUUCGGCGUCUUAAUCUGCAGAUGCAAAAUGCAAUUCUUCAGCCAAGUCCAGAGCACUUCCCUAAAUACGAAGAGCAGACACCUGCAAUGCCUGACUGCUUUACACCAAACUUUACUGACCACUUGCACAGGACCUUUAAUGGACCGCAGCUAGGAGCAAUCCAAUGGGCUGCAACGCAUACAGCUGCUGGAACUAAUGGUAUGACAAAGAGGCAAGAUCCAUGGCCUUUUACUCUAGUUCAAGGGCCACCUGGUACAGGUAAGACGCACACAGUGUGGGGAAUGCUGAAUGUCAUCCAUCUUGUUCAGUAUCAGCACUAUUACACAGCAUUGCUCAAGAAACUUGCUCCUGAAAGCUAUAAGCAAAAUAACGAGAGUAACUCAGAUAAUGUUGCUACUGGAUCCAUUGAUGAAGUCCUGCUAAGCAUGGAUCAGAAUCUCUUCAGAACCCUCCCAAAGCUGUGCCCAAAACCUAGAAUGCUCGUCUGUGCUCCUUCAAAUGCUGCAACUGAUGAGCUUCUUUCGCGUGUUCUUGAUCGUGGAUUCAUUGACGGCGAGAUGAAAGUUUAUCGGCCUGAUGUUGCACGAGUUGGGGUAGAUUCCCAAACGCGUGCCGCCCAAGCAGUUUCUGUAGAGCGGAGAACUGAGCAGCUUUUAAUGAAGAGUCGUGAUGAAGUUUAUGGGUGGAUGCACCAGUUGAGAGCUCGUGAAGCUCAGUUGUCUCAGCAGAUAGCUGGCCUUCAAAGAGAACUUACAGUUGCUGCUGCUGCUGGUCGUUCACAAGGAUCUGUCGGAGUUGACCCUGAUGUUCUUAUGGCUAGGGACCAGAAUCGAGAUACUCUCUUGCAGAAUCUUGCGGCAGUUGUUGAGAAUAGAGAUAAAAUACUGGUGGAGAUGUCCCGCCUUCUGAUUUUGGAGAGUAGGUUCCGUGGUGGUAACAAUUUCAACAUGGAGGAAGCUCGUGCUAGUCUGGAGGCUAGUUUUGCCAAUGAAGCUGAAAUCGUUUUCACAACUGUCUCAAGUAGUGGGAGGAAAUUGUUCUCUCGUCUUACCCAUGGUUUUGACAUGGUAGUCAUUGAUGAAGCAGCCCAAGCCAGUGAAGUAGGAGUGCUUCCUCCUCUUUCUCUCGGUGCAGCGCGAUGCGUUCUUGUUGGGGAUCCCCAGCAGCUUCCUGCUACGGUUAUCAGCAAAGCAGCUGGAACUUUGAUGUACAGUAGAAGCCUCUUUGAGAGGUUUCAGCAAGCAGGCUGCCCAACUAUGUUAUUAUCAGUGCAGUACAGGAUGCACCCUCAAAUUAGGGAUUUUCCUUCUAGGUACUUUUAUCAAGGUCGCCUUAAUGAUAGUGAAAGUGUUGUGAAUCUGCCUGACGAAGUUUAUUACAAGGAUCCUUUACUGAAGCCUUACAUCUUUUAUGACAUUACACAUGGUCGGGAAUCACAUAGAGGUGGAUCUGCUUCAUAUCAGAAUACGCAUGAAGCACAGUUCUGUCUUCGUUUGUAUGAGCAUCUUCAAAAAACUUGUAAAUCUCUUGGUGUUGGGAAAGUUACUGUAGGUAUAAUCACUCCGUACAAGCUGCAACUUAAAUGCCUUCAGAGGGAGUUCGGGGAUGUUUUAAAUUCUGAAGAAGGAAAAGACAUUUACAUAAAUACUGUGGAUGCUUUCCAGGGUCAAGAGCGUGAUGUUAUUAUAAUGUCAUGUGUGCGCGCCUCAGGCCAUGGGGUUGGGUUUGUUGCAGAUAUACGGCGAAUGAACGUUGCUCUUACUCGUGCAAGACGAGCUCUUUGGGUAAUGGGAAAUGCCAAUUCUCUGGUGCAAUCAGAAGAUUGGGCUGCAUUGAUUGCCGAUGCCAAAACCAGAAAAUGUUACAUGGACAUGGAUACUUUACCUAAGGACUUCCAGCUUCCCAAGGCAGGUUCUCAUGCACCUCCACCGACUAAGAUGUCUAAUAAUCGAGGUUUGAGAUCUGGGUUACGACACCGGAUAUAUGAUACACACAUGGAGUCCAGGUCAGGAACACCUUCAGAAGAUGAUGAAAAGCCAAAUGCAUUACAUGUAAGGAAUGGAAGUUAUAGGCCUCCUAAGCCACCGCUAGAGAAUUCAUUGGAUGAUUUUGAUCAAUCUGCUGAUAGAUCUAGAGAUGCCUGGCAAUAUGGCAUACAGAGAAGGCAAAAUACAGCUGGAAUUGGGAGAAGAGACCUGUAGUUGAUGUCCGUUAAUAUGUGCCAUAAAUCACAGGGACCCACCUUUUUUGUUACUGAUGUUAUGGCUUGCUCCUGGCUAGGAGAUUGGUUGAUGACAUACACGCAUGCUGAUUUCAUGUGCAACAUGGUUUGGUUGAAAGGACUUCUUGGUGGUGCGAGAAUGGAAGAGGCUAUAUGGCAUUAAGGAAACAUUUUUGUUCCUAAAGACUUGCUCCUGUCUUGGACAGUGGUCGAUAACAAAGCUGGUCAAGCUGGUUUCAUGUGCAGAAUAUACGGUUUGGCAAAAAGAAUUCUUGUCAAUGAAGAGAAUGGGAGGGUAUGUUAGAAAGGAAGAGAUCCUGGAUGAUUAUGGUGGAGUAUUUAACGAGUUGAUGGGAUUUUGAGCAUGGGAGCUCUCGGUCGUGCCACAAGUUCUGUUGCUGACAGAUUAUAAAGAGCACGUAGCAGCUUAACAUCAGGUAUUCAGCAGCUCUAAUGUAUAUGCUUUGCUUCCGUUGAGAUUGAGAAGAAAAGCUAAAUGAUCCUGAAUAUACAGCCCUCUGUGGCUGGAAAAUGGGUACUCUUUAUGAUUGCUUUUCUGUUGAUGAUUUUUACCACCGAGACUAACCCUGGAGAUUUUGGAGCUGGUUUGUCUGAUACUGGCUUUACUGCCUCGUUUGAUAUCCUGAAUUUGAAGAAGACUACUAGUCCAUGAAAGAAGCCCGGGAUAGACAGAGGACUGGGCUGGCCAUGUGGGGAAAUUGUUUCGAGGCUGAGCAUGGAACUCUGCUCGGAUGGCAAGUCUGAUAUCCGGAACCAUUAUGAGCUGACGAACAAGUCAGGACUGCCAUAUAGACUGACAAGAGUACAGUUAUUUGGAUACAAAUGUUGAUAUGGAGGCACUUGGAAGAUACCGACUAGUUCUGUACAUAUUCUUAUGAAGAACAUAAUUCUUUUUAUUAGGUUGUCUAGUAUACGUAGGGAUGUUGCAGAAAAUUUCUUUGUGUUAUCCUUCUGAAAAGAUAUCUUCAAGUUCAUCUUUCGUCUUUUAGCUAUGUUCUUUUCCAUGCUCAAUUUAUCUUUGUAUUGUUUGGUCAAUUUAUUUUUGUAUUGUUUGGUACCUUGGAACGACGUCUUGAUAAUGGAUGUGCAUUCUUUGCAAA